CUACGGAGGGUGCAAGCGUUAAUCGGAAUUACUGGGCGUAAAGGGUUCGUAGGCGGUUAUUUAAGUCAGAUGUGAAAGCCCCGGGCUCAACCCGGGAAUUGCAUCUGAUACUGGGUAACUAGAGUUUAAGAGAGGAGUGUGGAAUUUCUGGUGUAGCGGUGAAAUGCAUAGAGAUCGGAAGGAACAUCAGUGGCGAAGGCGGCACUCUGGCUUAAAACUGACGCUGAGGAACGAAAGCGUGGGUAGCAAACAGGAUUAGAAACCCUUGUAGUCC
rnacentral:rRNA from 1 species